UACGGAGGGUGCAAGCGUUAUCCGGAUUCACUGGGUUUAAAGGGUGCGUAGGUGGGCUUGUAAGUCAGUGGUGAAAUCUCCGUGCUUAACAUGGAAACUGCCAUUGAUACUAUAGGUCUUGAAUUUUCUGGAGGUCAGCGGAAUAUGUCAUGUAGCGGUGAAAUGCGUAGAUAUCGUUUGGAACGCCAAUGGUGAAAACAGGUCGCUGGGGAUGAGCUGACGCUGAGACACGAAAGCCAGGGGAGCAAACGGG
rnacentral:rRNA from 1 species